GGGAGCAUAGCUCAGUGGAAGAGCAUUUGACUACAGUUCACAUGGUCCCUGGUUUGAAUCCAGGUGCUCCCU